GUAGAAAUACAUUUUUAGCCACAUACAGUAGGUGUGGCAAAAAUGGAUAAGUAAAUUGUUCACAUACUUAUGGUUAGUUUUAAAAAUUGCUAGAAAUUCAACCAGGCUGUAAAAUGUUUGUAUAUAAAAAUAUUGCACACACACAGUUAUACAAGAUAUGUAUACAAUAUAUGGACAAGGAAUCUUUACUGUGUACUGCGUAUGUUUAGAGCCUUCAUUCGGUCUAUGGCUGCUGGAAUGCAGCCUAUAAGUUUGACUUACAAAUGUUGCUGUGGAUUACAGGACGAGAGAGUGGGUAAUGUCAGUCUCUCUGUAAAUUCAAAAAACAAGAGCAGGGAAAUGUCUUUGCAGGGUAAAAAUGGUGUUUAACAGAGAAAGCAAGUGGGGCCUUCUUUUUCAAAAUUUAUUUUUCUACAAUUAAAUGUUUUCAAAAUAAAAGUACCCACCUAAGUAUAAACUCAAACCUUAACUUAUAAUGUACUAGUCCAUAUUAACCCUCAUCUAGCCCAACCAUGUCAAGUACUCAUUAAUAUGCAUAAACAUGCUAGGUUAAAUUCAUUCUCUCUAUGGCUGCUGGAAUGCAGCCUAUAAGUUUGACUUACAACUGUUGCUGUGGAUUACAGGACGAGAGAGUGGGUAAUGUCAGUCUCUCUGUAAAUUCAAAAAACAAGAGCAGGGAAAUGUCUUUGCAGGGUAAAAAUGGUGUUUAACAGAGAAAGCAAGUGCGGCCUUCUUUUUCAAAAUUAUUUUUCUACAAUUAAAUGUUUUCAAAUUAAAAGUACCCACCUAAGUAUAAACUCAAACCUUAAUUUAUAAUGUACUAGUCCAUAUUAACCCUCAUCUAGCCCAACCGUGUCAAGUACUCAUUAAUAUGCAUAAACAUGCUAGGUUAAAUUAAUGUAACCCCUCAUUAAUAUUUUGGCCAAACUCUUAUUACUAUUGUUGUGACCAUUAUGCUCUCCAUUAACAAAUGAGGUGUACCAUUGCUACCUAGAGUAGAAAAGAGUCACAUAGUGAUUUUUAUUAAUAUUUAACUAUAUUUAAGAAGCAUUGCAAGACCAAGUUAUGUAAUUACUGCUCUUUGAAGGAAGUUGAUAUUAAAAUCUCUGUCAAAAUCAUAAAAAUAGAGCUAUUUAAUAUGUCAAGCAAUGGGGAGUCUAUUAAGUAACCAGCAUAAACACAUCAAUAAGGGCAGUAUUAGUUUAUGCUUACACAUCAAUCCUAUACCUCAUAUUUACUACUCAUUAUUACAGAACUCUUCAGAGAAAUCAAAGAAACACAAAAAAGGUUUUUCCGAAUGGAUGAGUUAUAAAAGGCCAUGUGUAGGUCUCUUGCUUUGAGGGGCCUCAAUCGAUUUGGAAGCCACAAUCAUGUGAUUCUUAUGCAGACAGCAUGUUUAACAAGCAGCAUGCUUAGGUGUCUGGAUGAGAGCUGGUCAGUUGUGGCUCGCAAAACCACCGGGUCUCCAAAGUGCAUAUCAGUUGCAGCAUGUGCAGGGCCGGCUCGUCCAUAAAGCGGUUCAGGCAGCUGCCUUAGGACGCCAGAGCAGGAGGGCAAAAAAAAAUCUGAAUCCCCUGCCUCUGGCUGAGGACUUGGAAUUUUCAACUUACCUGUCUCCCUGCAGCCAGCACAGAGCAGCCAGGGAAGUCAGCCGACCCUUCCUGAUGAUGUCAGGAGGGGAAGUGACUUCCACUGCUCUUCUCCCAGGACCGCUGGAGAGUCUGGGAGAAGAGCAGACAUCAUCAGGAGAGGUCGGCUGACUUCCCAGGCUGCUGUAUGCUGCCUUCAGUUCCUAUUCCACUCCUCCCUGGCCCAAGGCAAGCAUCAGGGAGGGGUGGAAAUACACUUUUGUUUUUUCUUAGUUUUUUUAAAUUAAUCUACUUUUUUAAGCCCCCGUCCCUCACCACCACAGCCCCCAUACCCUCAUUAAAGCUCCAUAACAUCCCCACUACAACCCGUCUUUCCAAUUGCAAACCAUAUCACCCACACCACAGCCCCUUUCCCAAAUUUUAGCCAUCAACCUACUUCAGCCCUUAUCCCCCCACUACAUUUCCUAACCCCCCAAUUACAGCCCAAACCCUCCACUUCAGCCCCUGUCCCCUCACAGCAUCCCCUAACUUUUCAAUUACAGCCACUACAACCCACUACCAGUACCAUUUCCAAGAUUGGGCUCUGGAUCCGCCCCUGCUCUGUAUGCCUGUAUCUGUAUGACUAUAAGCCUGCGUAUGUAUGUCUUUGUAUGCCUGUGUCUGUAUGACAGUGUCUGAAUGUGUCUGUGUGUGUGUGUGUGUUUGUAUGACAUUGUACCUGUAUGUGUAGAUUGUGUGGCUGUGUGCCUGUAUUUGUUUGAUUGAGUGCCUGUAUGGUUGUGUGUUGCUAUUUAUCUAUGUCUAUAUCGCAUGGAAAAAGACACAAAAUGUGCUGAGGGGAGAGAGCCCCAGAAAGGGGCUGAGGGGGAAGAAAGAGACAUGCAAAAAGAAUGGGGGGGGGGAGACACCCAAAGGGGCUUGGGAAAAAGAUACACAAUGGUGGUUAUAAGAGACAAAAGGGUGUAAGACAUAGUAAAGGGGGUAUAAAAUACACUAAAAAGGGUAAGAAAAUGAAAAGGGGGGUUACAAGACACACAAAUGAAGACGCAUUUUUUUUUAUUUUUUUUUUUUAAAGGGGGGGUGACGGGGGGUCAGCAAAAUGCAUCUUUGCCUAGGUAGCCAAAAAUCCUUGCACCAGCCCUGAGCAUGUGUCAGGAUGUGACAUAAUAUCUUGGCAUCCUCAGUCUGUAUUAGCACUGAAGGGAAGCAGGAUGAAGCUCUCCUGUUCAUUAAACAAUACACCAUAGGGGCUAGAGAGAGCAUCCAAAAGCCUCUCCCCUUCCUCCCUCUGUAGGCAGUAGUUAAGCAGCAGAAGAGUAGUAGAUUGUGUUAGAGUGCAAGUUUUAGUAUAUUGUAUGUGUGUUCGCAUAUCAGUGUGUGGGUGUCAAUGUGUCUAUGAAUGUGUGUUAUUGUAUGUCUGUGUGUAUGAGCAUGUUGCUAAUUAGGUUGGGGUAUGUGGCGAGUUAUGUAUGAAUUAAAGAGGCUAGUAUGUAUGUGUGUAUGUGUCUAAAUUAAUUGAUGUGGUUGUACAAACAAGAGCAGAGGUAGAUGGGUGCUUUGCAAAGUUUUCUUUCCUAGAGCCCCAAAAUUGUGGUGGUGGACCUACCCAUGGUUACUCAAAUAGUUUGUGAAAAGCUGUGCAUUUAAAGACUAAUGAUUAAUUCAAAACAUGUUGAGAGUUAUGUCCAGGUAUCAAUUUCACUCAAAGGGGCAAGGUUAGUUUUUAAAUGUAUAAAUAAUUCACAUCAAAGCUGUUUGCAAGCUUGACUAUGCUCCUCCAUUGCAUUUUAGGGAUUAUUUUCCACUGUAGACUAAAGGAUCUUUUCCAUAAAAUAGUUCUAGCUAAUUUAAUUAUAUAUCUUCAAAAUGCUUGCAUGGUGUUUUCUGGGUUAGUUCUCAACACAAAAUGCACUGUAUUACCAAUAAAAUUACUGUGGAUUUCAUUAGAAAUUACAAUAGCAAUUAAUAUGUUGGUUUUUGGUUUAUCUAUUCCAUAAUCAGGAGAUGAGGCUGAUUUGGAUAUGGUUAAUGGGUUGGAAAUGUAAAUACACAAUUACUGAAAGUUUUAUUUUUUGGAGGGGCGAGUGACAAUAAGGGAAACAAAAUUCUGAAAAUGAUUAAAGAAUGUAUACCAUAUUAUGCUCUUAUCACUCUGCAAGUGGUUUAUUUUGAAGUUGUUAGCAUCUUAUCUCAGUGAGAGCCUUUCAAUUUUGCAUAAAUAUCCGGGUAAAAAAUAUAAGUGCGAUAGACUUCCUACAAUCACUUCUUCAUUUAACCCCUUAAGGACACAUGACAUGUGUGACAUGUCAUGAUUCCCUUUUAUUCCAGAAGUGUGGUCCUUAAGGGGUUAAACAUGUCUUUCUGUUCCUCCUGCAUCAUUUUGCCGUCUGUAGCACAAUGCAUUUUUAAAACAAAUUGUGCUGCUAGUGUUUGAUUUAGUUUUUUUAGACCAAAAACAGAGGAGUGCAAACGGUAAUAAAGGACUGGAUUCAGAGACAGGAUCGAGGACCACGAUAGGGAGGGGAGUAAAGGAAAAUGAAAAUAAAUUGUAUUCUGUUCUUAGUUACAGAAUAAAAAGGUGGAGUGGUAGAUUCUCAUGUUGAUAGGUUCAGGGUCUCAGGGUGAUAAUAUAUCCUUAGGAUGAAAUAGCGGAUUCUUAUGGAGCUAAGCAUUCUCAGAGUCUCUGGGUGAAUAACCAUAGGGUAAAGGGGGCAGAUUCUCAGGGUCAGAGAGAUGAAAUGGCAGAGCCUAAUCAUAUACAGACAGAUCCAAAGAAAGGUUAGCAAGUUCUGCAAUCUUUGUGUAAAUGAGCAAUUUUAAGGUGAAUGGACAGGUCUAGCUAAGUACUAACAAGUACAAGUAGUAACUUUCCUGCAAAAUUUACACUUCAUAACAUAGGGGAGCACUGUGUAGUUCAAAUUAAAGAAUAUCCUUAUAUGGUGUCAUAGUACCGUUCAAGGUUACAUAGACUACAAAUAGAUCACCAGAUAUAUUACAGUAUAGAGUGUAAAAUUGACUAGUGAAACUUAUAAAUUAUAUGGUUAUACAUUCAUGAUCACAAAUGUCCUACAGUCAUCUUUAAAUUUGUGUAAUGGUGUUUUUUUAGGUUAAUGUAUUCUGGGCAUCUGGGGGAUUUGGUAGUGUAAUGUGGAAAGUAGCAUGUCCUAUAUAUAGAAAGACAGAGACAUAAGCAUAUGUCAGUAGUGUAAGCUAUGAACAAAUGAUUAAUUACACAAAGACUGGAAAAACUUAGAGCUGCAUGGAAUUUAGGGGCAUUAUCUAGCUGCAGUCUCAGGAAGUCAUGUGUAUCCUCUGCCUCACUGAAUGGUACACAAUCAGAUAGUAGACUACAAAACACAUUAUGUUAGACACCAUCUCACAAACAAGGAGCUAAAUCCAUGGCUCUUCAUAACGUGAGUGUGCUACCAUAAGACUUAUCAGCUUCUCUUAACAAUAUACUCAAAAUAUAGUAAGAUAUAGGAUUUAUUUUAUUGUGGCUUCUAUAUAACUUUGAAAUUUAAAAUAUAAGAACUUCUUUAAAAUGUAUUGUUUGAAAUGUACAGUGCUCCACUUUACUGCAAAAUUCCAUUAGCCUUAGUGGCUGUUCUCUAUUAAAGUCUCUACUAAUUGUUAACCACUAUAUGUUAGUGCCUUGUCUAGUCAUUUGCUGUAAUUUAAAUUUAUGAUUCAAAAUAAAUCACUUUAUAAAUA
rnacentral:lncRNA from 1 species